CACCUGGCCCGAGGCUGGCCCGGCCUUGCUGCUUCCUUUAGCGGCUUCCAGCUUCCAGGAACAGGGGAUCUGGGCCACCUAGGGCCCCUGUCACAGCCACAGCCACCCCACAGGACCCCUGUCUCCCAUCUGAGAGGACAGCCGUCUUCCUGGAGCUGGGAUCUGGCGCUUGCCGAUACCAAGAGCAGAUACCAGGUCUUCCAGAUUUUCUCAUCUCAUCUCCCCAGAGGAGCCACGACAUCAUCUCCUCCCAAAACAAAGCUAGAACCUUUACUGGAGACGGACCUGUGUUCUUCCCCCAAACUCAGUCCAGCUUAUCUCCAGAAAAAGUAUAUGACUCGCCCUGGAGAAGAGAAAAAAAGCCUCUCCCCACCAACUUCAUCCCACAGAUCACUGGAUUUGAGUCUGGAGACAGAAGAAUCGGAUGUGUACUUAAGUUUCAAAUUGACUAUUGUUUUAUGUGAAUGUCUGAUAAAGAAAACACAAUGGCUGCCAGCUGGGGGCUGGGAGUGAGAUUUCCCACAUGGAGAAUUCUAGAAGACAUGCCUGGAGUUCUGGAGUCUGGAUCCUCUGGACAGACAGGUGGAGACACCAAAGAUUGUGGAAUCUUCAUAACAACAAUGGUUCAUUUGAUGGGUCAAGAAACUGAGGAACAGAUAGCUGAAGCACCAUCAUCACAGACCUUCAAGGGGGAGAGCCACGUCAUCAAACUGCCUCUGACAAUGGCCUCUGAUCUGUCCUCAAGCUGAUGCUAUUGGUGAAAGGGACUAGGCCUACAGAGCUAGGAAAAAUUAGGCUCAACUGGCACUUAAAAACAGAUAUAGGGCUGGGCGUGGUGGCUCACGCCUGUAAUCCCAGCACUUUG